UGGGGAAUAUUGGACAAUGGGCGAAAGCCUGAUCCAGCCAUGCCGCGUGUGUGAAGAAGGUCUUCGGAUUGUAAAGCACUUUAAGUUGGGAGGAAGGGCAGUAAAUUAAUACUUUGCUGUUUUGACGUUACCGACAGAAUAAGCACCGGCUAACUCUGUGCCAGCAGCCGCGGUAAUACAGAGGGUGCAAGCGUUAAUCGGAAUUACUGGGCGUAAAGCGCGCGUAGGUGGUUCGUUAAGUUGGAUGUGAAAUCCCCGGGCUCAACCUGGGAACUGCAUUCAAAACUGACGAGCUAGAGUAUGGUAGAGGGUGGUGGAAUUUCCUGUGUAGCGGUGAAAUGCGUAGAUAUAGGAAGGAACACCAGUGGCGAAGGCGACCACCUGGACUGAUACUGACACUGAGGUGCGAAAGCGUGGGGAGCAAACAGGAUUAGAUACCCGGGUAGUCCCUGAGCGGGCUGGCAAGGCGCAU
rnacentral:rRNA from 1 species